rnacentral:rRNA from 1 species
GACGAACGCUGGCGGCGUGCUUAACACAUGCAAGUCGAACGGUGAAGGGGUCUGCUUUUGUGGGCCCUGGAUGAGUGGCGAACGGGUGAGUAACACGUGAGUAACCUGCCCCCUUCUUCUGGAUAACCGCAUGAAAGUGUGGCUAAUACGGGAUAUUCUGGGUCUGUCGCAUGAUGGGUCUGGGAAAGAUUGCGCCUUUGGGUGUUUUUGGUGGGGGAUGGGCUCGCGGCCUAUCAGCUUGUUGGUGGGGUGAUGGCCUACCAAGGCGGUGACGGGUAGCCGGCCUGAGAGGGUGGACGGUCACACUGGGACUGAGACACGGCGCAGACUCCUACGGGAGGCAGCAGUGGGGGAUAUUGCACAAUGGGCGCAAGCCUGAUGCAGCGACGCCGCGUGAGGGAUGGAGGCCUUCGGGUUGUAAACCUCUUUCGCCAGUGAAGCAGGCCUGCUCCUUGUGGGUGGGUUGACGGUAGCUGGAUAAGAAGCGCCGGCUAACUACGUG